CUUUUGCUGCAAUGAAGGGAGCUUGGUAUGGGGCCGCGCUCCUCGGCCGGGCCUUGCGGCCUCCGGGUGCGCGGAGAGGUUUUGCUGCCACGCUGGUUAGGAACUCAUACGAUGUCAGAAAUGUUGAACUCACUCCCCCGGAGCAGAGGAAGGUGACUUUUGAUACUCACGCUUUAGUGCAGGAUCUGGAAGCCCAUGGCUUUGGGAAGGAACAAGCAGAGACCAUCUUGAGGACGUUAGUAAACCUGUCGAAUGUCAGCUUGGACACAGUCUAUAAAGAUAUGGUUACCCAGACUCAGCAGGAAAUAACUUUGAAGCAGAUAAUGGCACAUCUGGACUCCAUUCGAAAAGACAUGGUCAUCCUGGAGAAAAGUGAAUUUGCAAACUUGAGAGCUGAGAAUGAGAAAAUGAAAAUCGAAUUAGAUCAAGUCAAACAGCAGCUGUUGAAUGAAACGGGUAAGAUCCGAACUGACAGCAAGCUGGACAUCAACCUGGAGAGGAGCAGAGUGACGGAUAUGUUCACAGAUCAGGAGAGGAAGUUGAUGGAAGUGACAACAGAGUUUCAUAAAAAAGAUGCCAGUACCAACAGUGUUAUCUCAGAAAUCAGUAAUAAGAUUGACACUGAAAUAGCUUCCUUAAAAACACUCAUGGAAUCAAAUAAACUUGACACAAUACGUUAUUUGGCAGGUUCUGGAAGUAGAUCCACAUGGAAUGACUGCAUCACAGAGAUGGAGAAAAGGCUACACAGGCAGGAUCAGUUGGACAGUGGUGUUUGCGCUGUAGAUAACCUCGGUACCUUUUUGUUUUUAUACCCGUAUUGUGCACUAUUUGCUGACUGUGUAAUGCUAAAGAUCAAAGUAACUGGGAGGGAAGUAGCCAAACAGGAAUACUACAUUGUCCUUCAUGGAAUACUCUAUUUCCAAGGAUGACUUAUGCUAAAGCAGAAAGUGUUUCCUGAUGUGUUUUAGGAUGAAUUUUGUUUUCUUUUUGGAACAUUCUCAGUGGAACAUUCUCACUCUCACCUCUUCUUAGAAUGGAAAUACUAAACAUUUGAUCUGCCCUUGAACUGAGAAUACCUUUCCCAUGUUAGUAUUCCCAGUAUGGGAACACUAAUGCCAGAUUCCACAGAUCUACUCUGAUCCAAGUAUAAAUUGGAUUUUUGCCUUCAGUCUGUUCCUCUCUUCUGACAGAUUGAAGCCUGGCCCUUUCAGUUUUUUAAUGUAUGUAUAUAUAUGUAUAUACAAACCCACACUGCAAUGGCCUUUACUAGAGAAUCCUUGUUUUUUUCUUGAAAACUGGUUUACAUAUAUUUCAAACGUCAUGUAGAACUAAAAUACCUUCAUAGAUUUGGGGUUUCUUUAGAGCCUCUUCCAAUUCCCAUAACCCCAGAGGUCAACAGAAUGGGAGAACUUCUCUGUGUCUUUCUAAGGGGAAACCCCUCUGCUCACAGCAGCUCCAAGGCAGAUUAAGUGUUCUUAACUCCUCCCUUCAGGUAGCACAGAGUAUUUCCAGUAAACCCUGGUGUGUGUUCUGGGCAUAGGAUCUGGCUUGUAACAUGGAAAUACUCAGCAUCCCAGUGGUGUCCUCCUCCUCCCAUCUCCUCCAGACUGUCCUGUGAUCCCAUGGGAUGUGCUGCCUCUCCUCCCUCCUGGUGAUGAUUCCUCUGCCUCCUACAAGGACUUCACACCUGUCACUGCAGAGCUGGGGCAUAGCUGGUGGCUGCCUUCCAAAACUGAAAUCCUGCAUCUGGAGUGCAAAUGCGUGGGCUUGGUUUGGUUCUGCUAAUAAAACAGGAUUUAAAACCCAGCAUUCCUGGAUUGUACUUUUAAGAGUAGGUCCUUUAUGGGUGACACAGUGUGUAGUGCUGAUUGGUGGCAAUUCAUUUUUAUUGCAGUAUUAGUCUGCAGUUUAAGUCGCUGGUACCCUACCAAGGCUUCUCUGCUGUGCAUUAAGUUAUUAUCUUCAGUUAAGAAAAUAAAAUCAGUUUCUUGUA